rnacentral:rRNA from 1 species
AACGAACGCUGGCGGCAGGCUUAACACAUGCAAGUCGAACGCCCCGCAAGGGGAGUGGCAGACGGGUGAGUAACGCGUGGGAACGUGCCCUUCGCUUCGGAAUAGUCCCGGGAAACUGGGUUUAAUACCGGAUACGCCGUAUUGGGAAAGAUUUAUCGGCGAAGGAUCGGCCCGCGCUAGAUUAGGUAGUUGGCGGGGUAAUGGACCACCAAGCCUACGAUCUAUAGCCGGUCUGAGAGGAUGAUCAGCCACACUGGGACUGAGACACGGCCCAGACUCCUACGGGAGGCAGCGGUGGGGAAUCUUGGACAAUGGGCGAAAGCCUGAUCCAGCCAUGCCGCGUGAGUGAAGAAGGCCUUAGGGUUGUAAAACUCUUUCGCCGGAGAAGAUAAUGACGGUAUCCGGAGAAGAAGCCCCGGCUAACUUCGUGCCAGCAGCCGCAGUAA